rnacentral:rRNA from 1 species
AGGCCAGCAUCAGUUUGGGCGGUUGGAUAAAGGUCUCUGUCAUGUACCUCUCUUCGGGGAGAACUUAUAGGGGAGACGACAUGCAACCAGCCUGGACUGAGGUCCGCGCAUCUGCUAGGAUGCUGGCGUAAUGGCUGUAAGCGGCCCGUCUUGAAACACGGACCAAGGAGUCUAACAUCUAUGCGAGUGUUUGGGUGUCAAGCCCGAGCGCGUAAUGAAAGUGAACGGAGGUGGGAACCUUUCGGGGUGCACCAUCGACCGAUCCUGAUGUCUUCGGAUGGAUUUGAGUAAGAGCAUAGCUGUUGGGACCCGAAAGAUGGUGAACUAUGCUUGAAUAGGGUGAAGCCAGAGGAAACUCUGGUGGAGGCUCGCAGCGGUUCUGACGUGCAAAUCGAUCGUCAAAUUUGGGCAUAGGGGCGAAAGACUAAUCGAACUAUCUAGUAGCUGGUUCCUGCCGAAGUUUCCCUCAGGAUAGCAGUAACGUUUUCAGUUUUAUGAGGUAAAGCGAAUGAUUAGAGGCCUGGGGGUUGAAACAACCUUCACCUAUUCUCAAACUUUAAAUAUGUAAGAAGUCCUUGUUACUUGAUUGAACGUGGACAGUUGAAUGUAUCGUUACUAGUGGGCCAUUUUUGGUAAGCAGAACUGGCGAUGCGGGAUGAACCGAACGCGGGGUUAAGGUGCCAGAAUAUACGCUCAUCAG